rnacentral:lncRNA from 1 species
ACUUGGACCUAGCAGCAUCAAUGAGCCAGCUCCUCACUGGGGAACAUGCAAACCCCCAGCUGCUGGUGUGCAGGAAAAGAAUCCAGGAGAUCACCUGAUGAAGCCCAGCAUUUUACAGAUAGGCAGUGGAGCAGGGGAAUCCAGUUGACACUGUGGCUAAAUUUCAGAAAACCUCCCAUGAGAUCUUGCAAAGGAGAUGGAGAAAAUAUGGCUGAAUGCCAGCAAGAGCAAAGUGGUGAAAGGACCCUGGUGAGAGGCCCAAAGAACAGGAGGUGUGAGCCAAGAGAAGGUCCUGCCAGGCCUAUGUUGCAGGCUAUUUGGAGGCUGAACUUGAGGAAACUUCAGUCUUCAGUCUUAAGGCCUUCAACUGAUUGGAAGGCCCCCAGUCAGCUAGUGGGAAGACCCAUGCACAUUAGAGAGGGUAAUCUGCUUUGUUCACUGUCUACUGAUGUCAAUGUUAAUUAUCUUUAAAAAAAAAUACCUUCAACAUCUAUUUUGUUCUUUGGUCAAACAACUGGCCACCAUAACCUAGCCAAGAGAACACAUGAAAUUAACCAUCACAGAGACCCAUGAGGAUGUGUUGAUACAUUGAAUGUAUGAGAGGAAAAAAAAAAAUCUACUUUAGAGUAGUUCUGAUUUUUUUUAUCUGAACAACUGAAAUAAUUUAAUAAUUAUUGAAAUGUUAAAUGCUAGGAGAAAAGAAGCUUUGUGAAUUGAAACCAGGAGUUUGGUUUUGUAUAUGUAAUAUUUAAUAGUCCUUUAGUAUAUCCAAGCAAAUGUAGACAAAGCAAUCUGGAGUUCAUGGAGAAGUUAAAAGCUGAAGGUAAGUAUUUGGGAGUUGUCACUGUGUAGAGGGUAUGUAAAGUUAGAAGACCAAGCAAGAUCUCUUAAGGCAGAAAGUGGAGGAUAGAAUACAGAGGAUAUAUCAAGAAUGAGCCCUACAAGCACAUUAAUUUUUAUAUGAAUAAGAAAGGAGUAGAAACCAGCAAAAGCGAUAGAGAAAUAGUGGCCAGUGAGACGAUAUGCACCAAGAGCAUAAGAUGGUACAGAAUUCAAGUGAAGAAAGUGUUUCAAGAGCAGAAGGUGAUUAACUAUGUCAAAUGCUGCUAAUAAGUAAGAUGUGCACAGAGAAUUUACCACUGGACAUCUUGGUGGAGCAGUGGAGAUAAAAGCUAGAUUGAGAAAGCUUCAAGAGUAUACGGUAAAAAAAAAAAAAAAGUGGAGCUCCAACCCACCUUCAACUCACCACCAUCACCAUCAUUGCCAUCAUUAUGGAAUACCUGUUAUUCCCUUAAUAUUUGUUUGGUGUUCAGGGGUUACAAGCUCAUAUGGCUACAAGAGCCACGCAGCUGAUAGAAAUGAGUGAACUGGCCAGGAGAUAAGUGGCAGCUGAUCCCACUGUAAUUGCCUAAUGGAUUCUUUCUGCCUGCUGCACAGACAAAACCAGUUCACUGAGACUGGUAUUGCAGCAGAGAAAACCUUUCAUUAAUGUGAGGCCAGCCAUGCAGAACAACCAGGGUUAUCACUCCAGUCAAUCUCCCUGAAGACUCAGAGUUUAGGGUUUUUCAAGGAUAGUUUGGUGGGCAGGCAGGGAGGGGUUGGGUGCUGCUGAUUGGUUGGGGGUGCAAUCAUAGGAAUGUGGAAAAUAGUCCUCAUGCACUGAGUUUGUUUCUAGAUGGGAAACACAGGACAGGUGAAGUCAUGAGUAAUGAGUCUGGGUGGGCUCAGUCAGUUGCCAGAAUGUAAAAGUCUGAAAGACAUCUCAAAAGACCAAUUUUAGGUUCUACAAUAGUGGUGUUACCUACAGAAGCAAUUGGGGAAGUCACAAAUCUUGUGACCUCUGACCACAUGACUCCUGAACAAUAAGGGAUUAUAGAAACUAUAUCUACAUUUUAGCAGAAUUCAGGUCCCUCCCAUAAUCUUAAUCUUAUGGCUUUUCAUUAGCCUUACAAAGGCAGUUUCAGCCCCCAAACAACAAGGGAAUUCGUUUUAGAGAGGGACUGUUAUCAUCCUUGCUUCAAAGUUAGACUACAAACUAAGUUCCUCCCAUGGUUAGCUUGGCCUACACCUAGGGAUGAGCAAAGACAGCCAGCCUGUGAGGCUAGAAGCAAGAUGAAAUCAGUCACAUUAAACUCCUCUCACUGUCAUAAUCUUUGCAAAAGAAGUUUCACUGGUGUCAAGGUUGGGGCAACAACAGGGAGAGGUGUACCUGUGGGGCAUGGAGGGCACUGCUCUGUCUAAGAAGAAGCCCCUGCUAGGCUUUGGGCAUUGAGGAACAUGGUGCAAGACAGGCCUGUGCAACCACACAUUCUCUUUUGUCAUGGAAACCAAAAAUCCAGAUUUGUAAGUGAAGCUUCCUAACGUUUAAAUGUUUAUAAGCUAUAGGAGGCUAAGGCAGGAGAAUUACUUGAGGCUAGGAGUCCAAGACCAGCCUGGGCAACAUAUAAAUACCCUAUCUCUAAGAAAAUGCUAAAAAUAAAUAAAUAAAUAUUUAUAAAUUAUUUCAAAAAAUCUUUCAGAGCACUAUGUGGUCCAAUACCUCAGGACAGACAAACUUGCCUGCAGACCAAAUCCAACCCAAGAGCCACCCACCAGUAUGCCAUUUCAGACAUAAAAUUGAACCUUUUUCUUAGAAAAAUUGUAAUCUAGUUGGAGCAAUCAUAACUUAGGUACUAUAAUUCCAGGGAAAAACUGAAAAGAUCCCAUUAUCAGUUGAAUUGUGUCCCCCUGAAAAAGAUAGGUUGAAGUCCUCACCCUCUGAAUCUGACUUUAUUCAGAAAUAGGCUUGUUGUAGAUAUAAUUAUUUAAGACAAGGUUAUACUAGAGGAGGGUAGGUCCCUAAUCCAAUAUGAUCUUAUAAAAAUGUCCUUAUAAAAAAACAACCUGUGGGCCAGGCGUGGUAGCUCACGCCUGUAAUCCCAGCACUUUGGGAGGCCAAGGCAGGUGGAUCACAAGAUCAGGGGAUCGAGACCAUCCUGGCUAACAUGGCGAAACUCUGCCUCUACUAAAAAUACAAAAAAAAUUAGCCGGGCGUGGUGGCCUGUAGUCCCAGCUACGCGGGAGGCUGAGGCAGGAGAAUGGCGUGAACCCGGGAGGCAGAGCUUGCAGUGAGCCAAGAUCGCGCCACGGCAAUCCAGCCUCCGUGACAGCGCAAGACUCCAUCUCAAAAAAAAAAAAAAACCUGUGAAUAGACAAGGACACACAAGGAGCGCUCCAUGUGACAAUGAAGGCAGAGAUUGGAGUUACGUAGCCACAAACCAAAGAAUACCAAGCAUUGCCUGCAAACCACCAGAAACUAGAAAAAGACAAGGAAAGAUUCCCCCUACAGGUUUCAGGGGGAGUACAGCCAUGCUGAUGCCUUGAUUUUGGACUUCUAGUUUCCAGAACUGUAAGACAAUCCAUUUCUAUUGUUUCAACCCAGUUUGUGGUACUUUGUUAGAGUAGUCCUAGGAAACUAAUACAGAUCCCAUAAGAGACAAGAAUAUGUCAUUUCUCAACAAAUUGUUCAGUGAACAAAUAUUUAUUGAGCACCUUCUACACCUAGGCAUUUAUCUAAGUCUAGAGGAUAAUCAGCAAGGAAAAAAGACAACAUAUCGCCCUCAUGUAGCUUUCACAUUCUAGUGAAAGGAGAAAGGCAAGAAACAUAAUAAAUAAGUAAAUUAUACAGUGUGUUAGAUGGCGGAAAGUGUUAUGGAAAAAAAAAGGGUCUGCCACAGUAGAGGGGCUGCAGUUUUCAGAAGGGCAGAGAGACAGAAGUCAUCACUGAGAAAACGACAACUGAGCAAAGACCGAAAGGACAUGAGGGAAGGAUCCAGGGGCAGCCAGGGGAAAAGCAUGCCAGGAAAAGGGAAGAGCCAGUGCAAAGGCCCUGGGGCAGAAGCGUGCCCAUCAUGAUAGAGGAAGGGCAGAAGAGAGUGUGACUUGAACAUGGUGAGAAAGAGGUAGGAAGCAGACACCUUCAAGGUCAUAAUUAAAGAAAGAAUGAAGAAAGAUCUUCAUUACAAAAGUGUAGGCAGGCUUAAGGCAAACCAGCAAGUAUGAUGACGCACUCCAGGGCUAGAAAUAAAAAGAAACGAUAACAUCCUUAGGCCUGAAGGCACAAAAGGAGAGGUAGCUAGUGGAAUCUAGCAAGAGCUGGCUGCAGCCAGGGCCCAGUGCCAGGGGCUGUGUCUUUGAUAGAGAAACAUAGUUAUGGCCUAGCCAAGGUCAUGAAUGGAAAGGGGCCAGCAGAAUAAAUACUCCAUCUUCUCACCUUCCAUCUUCCCAUGACUGAAUAUAAUUGGAAGCCAAAGAUUGAGAGAGCUUUGUGGAGGAAGCCCAUAGAGGCCAGCCUCCUGGGGGCACAGCACAGGGUAGAGAAGAGUGCAGAGUGGGUUCCAAAGGAUGACUGAAGAUUCGGCAGCAUAGGGAGAUUAGCAGGAGAUGAAGUCAGAGAGGUAACAGGGGCCUGGGUAUGUAGAGCUUGCUAGAUCAUUUUAAGGAUGGUGGCUUUCAUCUGAGUGAAAUGGCAACCAUUGGAGAAUUUUCGGUGGAAGAGUGAUAUGACUUAUGAUUUGAAAGAAUCACUCCAGCUGCUGUGUUGAGAAUAGACAGGGUGGAAAAGGACAAGAGUGAAGCAAGAAGACUGGCAAGAGGCUAUUGCAGUAAUGCAAGCAAAAGUGUGGCUGGACCAGGGGGUUGGCCUAAAGGAAAACAAAACUGAGGCAAACUUAAUAUAAGUAGAGUUUAUUUGAGCCAAGUUUGAGGACUGCAACCCAGAAUUAUAGAUUCAAGUUGCCCUGAAUAUGAGCUUGGAUUAGCCACAAUUACAGGUGGGUUUUUAAAGGAAAAGAAGAAGCAGUUCCUAAGUUAUUUACCAAUAAUUUACAUUAAAAUAACAUAAGCUAUUGAUUGGCUAUACAUUGUUAUUAAAUUCCAGGAAAAUGAAGAUUAUGAGUGAGGCAGCUAGUCAGGAAAAAAAUGCCUUUAAUAACGGACCCAUGGUAUGGGUGCAGGAGACAUUACUGAAGUCCCAUAUUCAUGACUCUGAGCCUGAUAAAUUUUGCAUACCUCGCACAGCUCAGAUUGUUCUGAGCUAUUUUUCUUUUCUUAAAAAUAAUGUUAAACUAAAUUUGGCCUAAGGACGCCUCCAUAUUUGAUUUCUUAUGUUACAAACUAUAACCUAAUUUAGUACAUAAACUAACUGAAACUAACUUGGGUGUAUACUUUUGUAACAAAAGCUGAGUCUCAGCCCAUCACAGCAGCAGAGCUUCAGUCAAUUAAAGGUGGCCAACUGAUCAAACUAUGAUCAAAUAAGGCAAAUACUGAGCUGUAACCAAUCAAGCAGCCUCUGUACCUCACUUCUGUUUUCUGUCUGUAAAUGCUGCCUGCUCAAGUUGCAGCCUGGAGCUCUCUGAAACUGUUCUUGUUCUGGUGGGGGUGGGGCAAGGGUGGGGGUGCCCAAUUUGUGAAUCAUUCUUUGCUCAAUUAAAUGCUCUUAAGUUUAAUUUUUCUAAAGUUUUUUCUUUUAACAGUAGAAGCAGUGGAGGUGAUGAGAAGUGGUGAGAUUCUGGUUUAUUUUGCAGGUUGACGCAGAAUUAACUGUUGCAUGAGAUGUGGGGUAUGAGAGAAGGCCUGAGUACCUAGAAGGAUUGGGAUGCCAUGAACUGACAGAGGUUGUGUAAUAGUGUGAUAUAAUAAGAAAUACAUGGUGGGCAUGGUGGCUCAAGCCUGUAAUCCCAGCACCUUGGCCACCACUGCAGGACCAUUGCUUGAGUUCAGGAGUUUGAGACCAACCUGGACAAUAUAGUGAGACCUCACCUCAAAAAAAAAAAAAGAAGAAGAAGAGGAAAUACAUAUUUGAUCUCUGCCCCUGGUUCUUGAGACAGAGCUCCUAAAACUUUUAUGAUUCCCUAAGUGACAAGAUCACCUGAUGCAGAGCUCCUAAAUCCCUUGGAAUUUCCUGGAGGACAGGAGCAUCUUUUGUUCUAAAGGUCACUCUUGGUGGACUCCUCAAUAGCCUCAUGAUGGGGGCUGGUAGCCAGGGGAAUCAACCGUGUGAUUACAGUAGAACUUUCAAACCCCACUGACCUGACCUCUGGGGAAGAGAGGGGGUGCUAAAGAUGAGCUAAUCACCAAUGGUCAAUGAUUUAAUCAGUCAUGCUACACAAUGAAGCCUCUAUAAAACCCCAAAAGGACAGGGUUCAGAGAGCUUCCUGGUUGAUGAAUCAGUAGAGGUGCUGGGAGGAUGGCACACCUGGAGAGGGCAUGGCACUCUGUGCCCCUUCCCACAUACCUUACAUUAUGCCUCUCUUCCAUCUGGCGUUCAUCCACAUCCUUUUGUAAUAUCCUUUAUAAUAAAUGGGUAAAUGUAAGUCAAGUGUUAGUCUGAGUUCUGUGAGAUGCUCUAACAAAUUAAUCAAACACAAAGAAAGGAUCAUGGGAACCCUUGAUUUAUAGCUAGCUGGUCAGAAAUACAGAUCACAACCAGGGGCUUGUGACUGACACCUGAAGUGGAGGGCAAUUUUGUGGGACUGGGCUCUUAAACCGUGGGAUCUGACACUAUCUUCAGGUAGAUGGUGUCAUAACUGAACUGAAUUAUAGGACACCCAGUUGGUGUCUGCUGGAGAAUUGCUUGGUAUGUGAGGAAAAAAACAGACACAUUUUGGUGAGAAGCAAUAAAAUACUCUACAUGCUGUGUUGAGUGUUGUAUCAUGUGCCCCAGUAGGAAUAACAGCUUGUUUUUCCUAUUGUUACAAUUGGCACUGGAUCUAUCUCAUAUAGGGGACAGGAGGAGGCCUGCCAGGAGAGCAGGCUUGGCUGAGUGGGUAGGUGAGGUGGAACUGUUCACAAGUCUGGUAUUUAGGGGAAAGGUCUCUAUGGAAAAUACAAACUUGGGAACCAUCAGUAUAUAGAUAUAUAUUCGAUAUGAAAAUGAAGUUAACACUUCUCAACAGGAAAAACAAAGUUUUUUGGAGGAGGUGGCAUGUGAUUGGGGACCUUGAAAGAUGGGAUUUUCAUAGUCAGAAAUAGGUGGGAAGACAAUCCCAGAUUAAGAAAGAGCCAUUAUCAAUGCUAGGAUUCACAUUGAGGCUAGUUUAGGGAACAUUUUUUCAGUUUGAAUGAGCAGAGGACUGAUUUUGGAGGGAGCCAGUGGCAGAAAUAUGAGCAGAAUAUUAGCCUUGUGACUUGCUGUACACUCAUGCAUCUAUCUACGAAUUCAUCAGACACCACUGGUUACCUUAAAAGCUGUGUUUGUUGUGGACAUUAACAACAACAAUCAUAAAUGCAUAUUGAGCCCUUAUCAUGUGCUCAUGUGAAAAUUCCUCACUUAAUAUUCACCCCCAACUAAAAAUAAGGAAAGUAAGAGUCUGAGUGAUUUUCUCCAGUUCUGUCUGCCGGUCAGAUUGGAACAAAGGCAGUGUGACCCCAGAGCCUUUGCCUUACCACUCAGCUCUACUUCUUUGUCAGAAACACCAAACCAGGCAUCUGUGGUGGUGGGGCCUGGCAGCCACCAGAAAUAUAGACUACUAAGUCUUGGGCAAGGCUUCCUCCUGACUUUCUUCUGUAUGAGAUGUGAAACCUGCCCUCUCCAGGGGUCAGCUGAGGAACCAGCAGUGGUAGCUCCAGGAAAGAAGGUAGGGCUGCUGACCAGGGCUUAGGUCACCAAGCUGCUGACUCUGACUCACCUGGGAAAGCUGACUGGCUUUUAAAGCAUCCACUCCCCAUUUUGUGUCUCCUAUGGGCAAACCUGAGGUCAAGGGCAGAAAACCAAAGCAUCACCCUGGAAGGUUAGCACCGAAAGUGCCCUUGAACAGUAAUGUGUCUAUUCCUCUACUCCUUAUCUCCUCCAAACCCAUUUAAGACCAUAGAGGCUAUGUUCCUUGUCCUACAUUGUCUUGGAAGGUUUGUGACAAAUCCUAUACUAGAGCUCAAAUAUGAGGACUUUCAUGUUCAGUGUGCUUCCACAAAAGAUGCUAACAUGAAUUAGUUCCUGGUUUGAAAGGAAUAGUAUCAACAACAAAAAGGGCGUCCACUCAGAGACCCCAUCUGAAGGUCACCAACAUCAAAGACCAAAGGUAGAUAAAUUCACGAAGAUGGGGAGAAACCAGCUCAAAAAGCCUGAAAAUUCCAAAAACCAGAAUGCCUCUUCUACUCCAAAGGUUCACAACUCCUCACCAGCAAGGGAACAAAACUGGACAGAGAAUGAGUUUGACGAAUUGACAGAAGUAGGCUUCAGAAGGUGGGUAAUAACAAACUCCUCCGAGCUAAAGGAGCAUGCUCUAACCCAAUGCAGGGAAGCUAGGAACCUUGAAAAAAGGUUAGACAAAAUGCUAACUAGAAUAACCAGUUUAGAGAAGAAUAUAAAUGACCUGAUGCAGCUGAAAAACACAUGAAUUAGUUCCUGUUUUAAAAUUAGGUUUCCUGGUGAGCAGGCUGGAAUAGAAUCAAGUGUGUGUGUGUGCAUGCAUGUGUGUGUGUGUGUAUCUGUGUGUGUGCCAAGUUCAUGAUACAAGCCCAGGACUGACACUCCCUACCACUCCCAGGGAAAGGAAUUUCUCCUAAGUUCAACUUGUCUUUCAGGAAAAUUUAGAUUUUAAGCAUCUGACCCAGUAAAUGGGACAGGAAAGAGGAGCCCUGCCAUCCAGUGAGUCCUGCUCAGGUGUCUUUCCUGGAGAAACACUCACACCUGUGUAGCAAGAGGCCUGUGCAAGAAAGCCAACAGCAGCAUCACAAGAAAUAGUGAGGAGUGGAAGGAACUCAAAUGCCCAUCAAUACAGGAGUGAUUAUCCAGCAGUUAAAAUGAAUGAAGUGGGUCUUCACAGAGUCAAGGAAAGAUCCCUAAGACAUUAUUACACAAGGAAGAAGGAGAAGAAAAGAAAGUUGGCAAUACAAUGCAUACAAUAUGAUCCCAUUUGUGAAAAAGAAAGAACAUCCCAACCAUAUGUGUGUAUGUAGAAAGUAGAUCCUCUUGCCUGAUAAUUUCAAUGGAUUUAAUUCCACAAUUGUGCACCGAGUGCCCUCUUUGUGCAGGCCUUGUAAUCCAUAAGGAAAUCAUCUAGCAGGGAGAAGUGUAGGCAACAUCCCUGCCCUCUAGUAGCUGGAUAAGGGAGGGGUAAAUCAUGCCUGAGCCAGCAGAGCAUACCUGAGCCCCCAGAGCCAUAACCAACCCCAUACCUCACCCCUCAGAAUCAGUGUCAGCCCAGGAGAGUAGCCACAACCCCAGCAUUCAAGCCCAUGUGUCACCAAGCCCCUUGGGGAUCCAGAGAUGGUCUCACCAGAGCAGCUGCACCUCUGAUGCCUGAGCAGAUGUGGUGCCCUACCCCCUAGGGAAACAGAGUCUUGGCUGUUCUAUUUCACCCUACCCUUUGGGCUGUGCAACUGCAGAGCUCCAUCUUCUCGGAUCUGAACCAGCCCUCUGGAGUCUGAGCUGCUGAGGUGUUGCACCUCCCCAAGGUAUUGAGCUAUCAUUGCCCUGCUCCCCACCUCCUAGAGCCCAAGCCACAGCUGUGCACCUCCAUUCUAGGAAUUCUCUGCCACUGCACCUGGACUUACACACCCUGGGCCACUGUCGUGUUCCACCUCUGCAGAGUCCAGAGUCACCAUGAUGUGCUACUUCCUCUCCUGAUGCCUGAGUUGCCACUGUACCCUAUCGGCUCUAGGCCCAAGUUUCUGGAACACUCCUUCCUCCCCAGAGCCAUACCAGUGCUGUGCCCUGACCCCCAGCAUCAGAGUCACAGCUACACACCUGACCCCUGGGCCCAAGCUACUGGGGAGUGGCUCAGAGUAACAGUCCUCUGUUUAGUGCAGGAGCUUCAUCCACUUGUCACAGAGAGUGAACACCCACCUUACAGGUUCUACAACAGUACAACAAGACAUUGAAGCCAGGACCCAAACUCCACAGCUACUCCAAGCAGCUGUAGUCUGGAACACAGAACCACUGUGGCUGCCUGUGGCCUGUGUCAGACCCAACACCAAGAGGGAUCCCCUCAGCUACUUCUUCCCACUGUGGGAAAAAAAAAAACAAGAGGACCCCCCCCGCAAAGACUUUUCCACUGAGAGCUCUAACAACCGACCCUGCCACCACUGCUGCUACAAACUCUUGGAGCCUCAGCCACUGAUUCAGCUGCAGUUAUCAAUGAUGUCAAUCACAACUGAAAAAAACCUCAUGGAGACUGCUCUACUGCACCCACCUGGAACCAGAGCCAACACACAACCAACCUAGGACUCAUAUGCCAGUAAAAAUCUUUCCCUAUGAAAGCUACUCUAAAAUUGGAGAUGACUAUUUCAUCAGAGGCACAGACAUCAACACAGGGACACAAGAAGCAUGGAAAAGUAAGAAAAUAUGACAUGAUCAAAGGAACAUAAUUCUCCAUUAACUGACCCUAAAGAAAUUAAACUUCACAAAUUUCCCAAAAAGUAAUCAAAACAAUGAUCUUAAGGAAACUCAGUGAGAUACAAUAGAAUACAGAUAGAAAAUUCAAUGAAAUCAGGAGAACAACUCAUGAUCUGACUGACAAAUUCAACAAAAAGAUAGAUAUAAUUUAAAAAGAACCAAACAGAAAUCUUGGAGCUGAAGAAUUCAAUGUAUGAAAUAAAAAAAAAAAUACAGUUGAGAACUUCAACAGAAUAGAUCAAGCAGAAGAAAACGUCUCUGAACUUAAAGAUAAGCCUCUUGAGAGAAGAAUCAAAUAGACGCAAUAAAAAAUAAUAAAUGGGAUAUCACCACCGAUCCCACAGAAAUACAAACUACCAUCAGAGAAUGCUAUAAACACCUCUACGCAAAUAAACUAGAAAAUCUAGAAGAAAUGGAUACAUUCCUCGACACAUACACCCUCCCAAGACUAAACCAGGAAGAAGUCGAAUCUCUGAAUAGACCAAUAACAGGCUCUGAAAUUGAGGCAAUAAUUAAUAGCUUACCAACCAAAAAAAGUCCAGGACCAGACGGAUUCACAGCCAAAUUCUACCAGAGGUACAAAGGGGAGCUGGUACCAUUCCUUCUGAAACUAUUCCAAUCAAUAAAAAAAGAGAGAAUCCUCCCUAACUCAUUUUAUGAGGCCAGCAUCAUACUGAUACCAAAGCCUGGCAGAGACACAACAAAAAAAGAGAAUUUUAGACCAAUAUCCCCGAUGAGCAUCGAUGAAAAAAUCCUCAAUAAAAUACUGGCAAAACGAAUCCAGCAGCACAUCAAAAAGCUUAUCCACCAUGAUCAAGUGGGCUUCAUCCCUGGGAUGCAAGGCUGGUUCAACAUAUGCAAAUCAAUAAACAUAAUCCAGCAUAUAAACAGAACCAACGACAAAAACCACAUGAUUAUCUCAAUAGAUGCAGAAAAGGCCUUUGACAAAAUUCAACAACACUUCAUGCUAAAAACUCUCAAUAAAUUAGGUAUUGAUGGGACGUAUCUCAAAAUAAUAAGAGCUAUCUAUGACAAACCAGCAGCCAAUAUCAUACUGAAUGGGCACAAACUGGAAGCAUUCCCUUUGAAAACUGGCACAAGACAGGGAUGCGCUCUCUCACCACUCCUAUUCAACAUAAUGUUGGAAGUUCUGGCCAGGAAAAUCAGGCAGGAGAAGGAAAUAAAGGGUAUUCAAUUAGAAAAAGAGGAAGUCAAAUUGUCCCUGUUUGCAGAUGACAUGACUGUAUAUCUAGCAAACCCCAUCGUCUCAGCCCAAAAUCUCCUUAAGCUGAUAAGCAACUUCAGUAAAGUCUCAGGAUAAAAAAUCAAUGUGCAAAAAUCACAAGCAUUCUUAUACACCAAUAACAGACAAACAGAGAGCCAAAUCAUGAGUGAACUCCCAUUCACAAUUGCUUCAAAGAGAAUAAAAUACCUAGGAAUCCAACUCACAAGGGAUGUGAAGGACCUCUUCAAGGAGAACUACAAAGCACUGCUCAAUGAAAUAAAAGAGGAUACAAAGAAAUGGAAGAACAUUCCAUGCUCAGGGGUAGGAAGAAUCAGUAUCGUGAAAAUAGCCAUACUGCCCAAGGUAAUUUAUAGAUUCAAUGCCAUCCUCAUCAAGCUACCAAUGACUUUCUUUACAGAAUUGGAAAAAACUACUUUAAAGUUCAUAUGGAUCCAUAAAAGAGCCCGCAUUGCCAAGUCAUUCCUAAGCCAAAAGUACAAAGCUGCAGGCAUCACACUACCUGACUUCAAACUAUACUACCAGGCUACAGUAACCAAAACAGGAUGGUACUGGUACCAAAACAGAGAAAAAGACCAAUGGAACAGAACAGAGCCCUCAGAAAUAAUGCUGCAUAUCUACAACUAUCUGAUCUUUGACAAACCUGACAAAAAGCAGAAAUGGGGAAAGGAUUCCCUAUUUAAUAAACGGUGCUGAGAAAACUGGCUAGCCAUAUGUAGAAAGCUGAAACUGGAUCCCUUCCUUACACCUUAUACAAAAAUUAAUUCAAGAUGGAUUAAAGACUUAAAUGUUAGACCUAAAACCAUAAAAACCCUAGAAAAAAACCUAGGCAAUACCAUUCAGGACAUAGGCAUAGGCAAGGACUUCUUGUCUAAAACACCAAAAGCAAUGGCAACGAAAGCCAAAAUUGACAAAUGGGAUCUAAUUAAAUUAAAGAGCUUCUGCACAGCAAAAGAAACUACCAUCAGAGUGAACAGGCAACCUACAGAAUGGGAGAAAAUUUUUGCAAUCUACUCAUCUGACAAAGGGCUAAUAUCCAGAAUCUACAAUGAACUCAAACAAAUUUACAAGAAAAAAACAACCCCAUCAACAAGUGGGCG